rnacentral:tRNA from 1 species
GCCCUCGUAGCUCAGUGGAUAGAGCAUUGGUUUCCUAAACCAUGCGCGCAGGUUCGAUUCCUGCCGGGGGCACCA